AGCGUACACGGUGGAUGCCCUGGCAGUCAGAGGCGAUGAAGGACGUGCUAAUCUGCGAUAAGCGUCGGUAAGGUGAUAUGAACCGUUAUAACCGGCGAUUUCCGAAUGGGGAAACCCAGUGUGUUUCGACACACUAUCAUUAACUGAAUCCAUAGGUUAAUGAGGCGAACCGGGGGAACUGAAACAUCUAAGUACCCCGAGGAAAAGAAAUCAACCGAGAUUCCCCCAGUAGCGGCGAGCGAACGGGGAGCAGCCCAGAGCCUGAAUCAGUGUGUGUGUUAGUGGAAGCGUCUGGAAAGGCGCGCGAUACAGGGUGACAGCCCCGUACACAAAAAUGCACAUGCUGUGAGCUCGAUGAGUAGGGCGGGACACGUGGUAUCCUGUCUGAAUAUGGGGGGACCAUCCUCCAAGGCUAAAUACUCCUGACUGACCGAUAGUGAACCAGUACCGUGAGGGAAAGGCGAAAAGAACCCCGGCGAGGGGAGUGAAAAAGAACCUGAAACCGUGUACGUACAAGCAGUGGGAGCACGCUUAGGCGUGUGACUGCGUACCUUUUGUAUAAUGGGUCAGCGACUUAUAUUCUGUAGCAAGGUUAACCGAAUAGGGGAGCCGAAGGGAAACCGAGUCUUAACUGGGCGUUAAGUUGCAGGGUAUAGACCCGAAACCCGGUGAUCUAGCCAUGGGCAGGUUGAAGGUUGGGUAACACUAACUGGAGGACCGAACCGACUAAUGUUGAAAAAUUAGCGGAUGACUUGUGGCUGGGGGUGAAAGGCCAAUCAAACCGGGAGAUAGCUGGUUCUCCCCGAAAGCUAUUUAGGUAGCGCCUCGUGAAUUCAUCUCCGGGGGUAGAGCACUGUUUCGGCAAGGGGGUCAUCCCGACUUACCAACCCGAUGCAAACUGCGAAUACCGGAGAAUGUUAUCACGGGAGACACACGGCGGGUGCUAACGUCCGUCGUGAAGAGGGAAACAACCCAGACCGCCAGCUAAGGUCCCAAAGUCAUGGUUAAGUGGGAAACGAUGUGGGAAGGCCCAGACAGCCAGGAUGUUGGCUUAGAAGCAGCCAUCAUUUAAAGAAAGCGUAAUAGCUCACUGGUCGAGUCGGCCUGCGCGGAAGAUGUAACGGGGCUAAACCAUGCACCGAAGCUGCGGCAGCGACGCUGAUGCGUUGUUGGGUAGGGGAGCGUUCUGUAAGCCUGCGAAGGUGUGCUGUGAGGCAUGCUGGAGGUAUCAGAAGUGCGAAUGCUGACAUAAGUAACGAUAAAGCGGGUGAAAAGCCCGCUCGCCGGAAGACCAAGGGUUCCUGUCCAACGUUAAUCGGGGCAGGGUGAGUCGACCCCUAAGGCGAGGCCGAAAGGCGUAGUCGAUGGGAAACAGGUUAAUAUUCCUGUACUUGGUGUUACUGCGAAGGGGGGACGGAGAAGGCUAUGUUGGCCGGGCGACGGUUGUCCCGGUUUAAGCGUGUAGGCUGGUUUUCCAGGCAAAUCCGGAAAAUCAAGGCUGAGGCGUGAUGACGAGGCACUACGGUGCUGAAGCAACAAAUGCCCUGCUUCCAGGAAAAGCCUCUAAGCAUCAGGUAACAUCAAAUCGUACCCCAAACCGACACAGGUGGUCAGGUAGAGAAUACCAAGGCGCUUGAGAGAACUCGGGUGAAGGAACUAGGCAAAAUGGUGCCGUAACUUCGGGAGAAGGCACGCUGAUAUGUAGGUGAAGCGACUUGCUCGUGGAGCUGAAAUCAGUCGAAGAUACCAGCUGGCUGCAACUGUUUAUUAAAAACACAGCACUGUGCAAACACGAAAGUGGACGUAUACGGUGUGACGCCUGCCCGGUGCCGGAAGGUUAAUUGAUGGGGUCAGCGCAAGCGAAGCUCUUGAUCGAAGCCCCGGUAAACGGCGGCCGUAACUAUAACGGUCCUAAGGUAGCGAAAUUCCUUGUCGGGUAAGUUCCGACCUGCACGAAUGGCGUAAUGAUGGCCAGGCUGUCUCCACCCGAGACUCAGUGAAAUUGAACUCGCUGUGAAGAUGCAGUGUACCCGCGGCAAGACGGAAAGACCCCGUGAACCUUUACUAUAGCUUGACACUGAACAUUGAGCCUUGAUGUGUAGGAUAGGUGGGAGGCUUUGAAGUGUGGACGCCAGUCUGCAUGGAGCCGACCUUGAAAUACCACCCUUUAAUGUUUGAUGUUCUAACGUUGACCCGUAAUCCGGGUUGCGGACAGUGUCUGGUGGGUAGUUUGACUGGGGCGGUCUCCUCCUAAAGAGUAACGGAGGAGCACGAAGGUUGGCUAAUCCUGGUCGGACAUCAGGAGGUUAGUGCAAUGGCAUAAGCCAGCUUGACUGCGAGCGUGACGGCGCGAGCAGGUGCGAAAGCAGGUCAUAGUGAUCCGGUGGUUCUGAAUGGAAGGGCCAUCGCUCAACGGAUAAAAGGUACUCCGGGGAUAACAGGCUGAUACCGCCCAAGAGUUCAUAUCGACGGCGGUGUUUGGCACCUCGAUGUCGGCUCAUCACAUCCUGGGGCUGAAGUAGGUCCCAAGGGUAUGGCUGUUCGCCAUUUAAAGUGGUACGCGAGCUGGGUUUAGAACGUCGUGAGACAGUUCGGUCCCUAUCUGCCGUGGGCGCUGGAGAACUGAGGGGGGCUGCUCCUAGUACGAGAGGACCGGAGUGGACGCAUCACUGGUGUUCGGGUUGUCAUGCCAAUGGCACUGCCCGGUAGCUAAAUGCGGAAGAGAUAAGUGCUGAAAGCAUCUAAGCACGAAACUUGCCCCGAGAUGAGUUCU
rnacentral:rRNA from 1 species